CUUGAAACUCGGGGCAAUGAUGGAAACCUAUGGGCUCCAUAGGAGCAAAAAUGUCACAGUCACAUGGUCUGGCAGACAUCUUUGUUUUGGCAUCCAGAAUUGCACAAUAUUCAACACUCUUCAUCUCCAUGUCACAGGUCUGCAUCUGGCCUAGAUUCCGAUUUAUUCAAGAAAAGUUAAUUGGUCCUAUAGUUCAGCAGCCAUAUUGGAUUAUGUAACAUUCCAUGAACAUCUCUUGCUCUGAAACAAUCUGAAAUUUGGCCACAUGUUCCCGGGUAGAUAAUCUUUCAUGGUUGUUCAAAGCAGGUCGAUAGCAAACUCAAGAUGGCCUUAAAAACCAUUACCAAUUAUAAAACUUACGAUUAGUGAGCAUUUGAAGUAUAAAAUCUGUGCAUGCGCCGUGCUCACCCUGUAAUCCGGG